UGGGGAAUUUUGCGCAAUGGACGAGAGUCUGACGCAGCAACGCCGCGUGGGUGAUGAAGGUCUUCGGACUGUAAAACCCUGUCGUCAGGGACGAAGGUGCACGUGUUAAUAGCAUGUGUGCUUGACGGUACCUGGAGAGGAAGCCCCGGCUAACUCUGUG
rnacentral:rRNA from 1 species